AACGAACGCUGGCGGCAUGCCUAACUCAUGCAAGUCGAACGAGACCUUCGGGUCUAGUGGCGCACGGGUGCGUAACGCAUGGGAACCUGCCCUUAGGUUCGGAAUAACUCCCCGAAAGGGGUGCUAAUACCGGAUAAUGUCUUCGGACCAAAGAUUUAUCGCCUUUGGAUGGGCCCGCGUUGGAUUAGCUAGUUGGUAGGGUAAAAGCCUACCAAGGCGACGAUCCAUAGCUGGUCUGAGAGGAUGAUCAGCCACACUGGGACUGAGACACGGCCCAGACUCCUACGGGAGGCAGCAGUGGGGAAUAUUGGACAAUGGGCGAAAGCCUGAUCCAGCAAUGCCGCGUGAGUGAUGAAGGCCUUAGGGUUGUAAAGCUCUUUUACCCGGGAUGAUAAUGACAGUACCGGGAGAAUAAGCUCCGGCUAACUCCGUG
rnacentral:rRNA from 1 species